rnacentral:rRNA from 1 species
GAUGAACGCUGGCGGCGUGCUUAACACAUGCAAGUCGAACGGAUUUAACAGAAAGCUUGCUUUGGUUAAAUUAGUGGCGGACGGGUGAGUAACGCGUGGAUAACCUGCCGUAUACAGGGGGAUAACACUUAGAAAUAGGUGCUAAUACCGCAUAAGCGCACAGUUUCGCAUGAGACAGUGUGAAAAACUCCGGUGGUAUAAGAUGGACCCGCGUCUGAUUAGCUAGUUGGUGAGGUAACGGCUCACCAAGGCGACGAUCAGUAGCCGGCCUGAGAGGGUGAACGGCCACAUUGGGACUGAGACACGGCCCAAACUCCUACGGGAGGCAGCAGUGGGGAAUAUUGCACAAUGGGGGAAACCCUGAUGCAGCGACGCCGCGUGAGGGAAGAAGGUAUUCGUAUUGUAAACCUCUGUCUUCGGGGACGAUAAUGACGGUACCCGAGGAGGAAGCACCGGCUAACUACGUG